rnacentral:lncRNA from 10 species
CUUGCUGAAUUAGAAGAGGGGAGAGAUACAGAGUUUCUAACUGUUGCAUUUUUGAGCUUCACAAAUGAUUAGGGAUUACUAGGCAAAGUGGAAGUGUGCACAAGCUAAACCUACAGAUGAGGAUGCUGCAUUUAUUAAAGAAUGGUGGUUUGGAUUAAAAUAAGAUAAUUGAAUAAACACAGAUACCCACAAACUGUUGAAGGACUUUCUGAUAUAUCCACAAUAAAAGCAUUGGUUUCAAUUUGGACAAUGACUCAUUGCCUGUAAACCCUGGUUAGUUGAGGCUGAUGUCCUUGGAUCUCACAUCACUUUGCAGAUGAGUCUGUGCAGCUUCAAAAUACAAAGCCAGAAUUUGAGACACAGCAGACACUCUCCCCAGCUCCUCCUGUCUGCCCUGUUGUGAAGUUGAAAAGCUUCUGCUUUUUAUGACAUUAUUCCUGUUCUCAUUCAGUCCUUCAGUUUAUUUCAGAGCAGUAUUCAACUAUUUCAAUAGAAAUGUUUGUGUAUUUUUGUUUUAUUUCUUUUGCUUAUCUCUGACUCCUCAACCAGUUAGAGAGAUAUUUAUUUCCUGGAAGAGAUUACAGAGUCCAAGUUCACUGACAGUGCUUAGCAAAGACAAGCUGCCCUCAAGGAGAUAAUACCCUAACAAUUGGAAAACAGAAGCUGUUUCUUUUGCCUGGUUAUGCAACACUAUCUUACGUUUCAAACAGAAGAACCUUGGAUGUCCUUGAUUAGUACAUGAUUAGUUAGUUUAUCUUCAAUACUGUUAAAGCAGAUGCUUAUUACCUGGGCAACAGAAACUGUAAAGACUUACUCCACGUAUUUAAUCUUAUAUCACAGCGCAUGUCAGCUCUUUGUCAGAGAGACUGAAAAUGAAAUGCUAUGAGAAAUUGUUAUGGAUUAACUUGUGUUCCCCUAAAAUGCAUAGAUUGAAGUCCUAACUUCCAAUGCUGUUAUAGUCUUUGAGUAUCCUUGAUGUGCCUUUUAGGAAAAAUGAGACUGACAGUUCCAUACCAUGCUGUGGUCUGCACACAUGUGCAUUGUUUUGAUAUUUCUGUUCCUCUACAAAUGAAUAAGAAGCCUACCUGAAAUCAUGCUGCUUUGUCUUUAAUACUAGACUGGAUUUUUGUGGAGAUUCCCAAUUACUUUUCUGAUGUUGAUAAGAUUAAAUGCCACAAUGUCUAUCUGUAUAUCCAGAGAGACUAAGAACUGAAGCUACGAAUGUAGCCAGUCAACAGUACAUAAUUAUUGAAAGCCUAAGUCUUCUUAGCCUUAUUCAUGAUCAGUGAAGCAAAGAAGGAGAAAGUGGAUAUUAUUGGCCUAACUUUAGAAUACGCUUCUGGUGGAGAAACAAAGACUCUUCUAACAAAAGAAGUACAUAUUGAUGCAGGAAGUACAAAGCAGUUCAACCAAAAGGGUUUUUUUUUUUGGGGGGGACGGUGUUUAUUUUUGGUACCUAUCACCUUCUCUAGGGAUUUCCACUGUGGCUCCAUUUAUCUUGCUGCUGUGUUCUAGCUUUAUUGAGAGAUUUCUUCACACUAUUUCAUUAUACUCCAAUGCCACUCAUGACCUUAGAUUGCUCAGCUUGAGAUUUUCCUUUCCUUAAUUCUCCUUGAAACCUAGUAAUAUUGUGUAAUGGUUUUGGAAGUCUCAUCUUGCCCUAAGGAGCAACCAGUUAUGUCUAUCAGAACUGAAAGUACCCACAUAGCAUUUUGCCUGUUAGUUCAUCCUACAGAGAAGUGAGACAGGAGUAAUAGCCAACAAAAGAAGGGACAUCUCAAUAUCAUCUUAAUGGACUUAAGGAGGAUUGACUAA